UGGAUGGAGAUGGCUGCAAAGUUCGAGCUGGAUCAGUUACAAAUGAAGGAGAUCUGAAUCUUGAUACGUCAAUUGCUUGUGAUUCAUGUGAUCUAUGGUAUCAUGCCUUUUGUGUUGGAUUUGACCCUGAGGACACUUCUGAAAGUACAUGGCUAUGCCCAAGAUGUGUUGACAAGCUACCCGAAAAGUCAGCACCUUACAAGAAGUUAGGUCCAGAAAAUGCCAGCAAUAACUGUUUGCUUGAGGCUUCUUUUUCAGGGAAAG
rnacentral:misc_RNA from 1 species